rnacentral:rRNA from 1 species
GUGUUUUGUUAAUUGGAUAACUGUGGUAAUUCUAGAGCUAAUACAUGCAUAUACGUUCAGCUUCGGCUGGAUGUGCUUUUAUUAGUGCAAACCAUGUCUUCGGACUUCUGGUGAUGACUCUGAAUAACUUUGCCGAGCAUUUCAGCCUUCGAGCUGGUGCUAUUCCUUCAAAGUAUCUGCUCUAUCAACUGUCGAUGGUAUAUUAUAUGUUUACCAUGGUUGUAACGGGUAACGGGGAAUUAGGGUUCGAUUCCGGAGAGGGAGCCUGAGAAACGGCUACCACAUCUAAGGAAGGCAGCAGGCGCGCAAAUUACCCAAUCCCGGCACGGGGAGGUAGUGACAAAAAAUAACAAUGCGGGACUCUUAUGAGGCUUCGUAAUUGGAAUGAGUACAUUCUAAAUCCUUUAACGAGGAACUAUUGGAGGGCAAGUCUGGUGCCAGCAGCCGCGGUAAUUCCAGCUCCAAUAGCGUAUAUUAAAAUUGUUGCGUCUAAAAAGCUCGUAGUUUGAAAACUUGCCUUGGCUUACAAAAGGUCCUCAGGGCCACCGUUUGUUGAGCGCAAAUAUGGAUGACUGUUUUUGCCGACUUCAUUGUUGGGCUUAUAAGAGUUAUCAAAUAUCACUUUGAUUAAAUUAGAGUGCUUAAAGCAAGUGUGUUACUUGGAUAUAAAUGCAUGGAAUGAUGGAAUAUGUUGUUGUUCUAUUUGUUGGUUUUGGAACGAUGAAAUGAUUGAAAGGAA